AUUAAAUGGAAACUAAAAUGUGAUGUUAAUUUUUAAAACGGCUCAGAUAUUCUGUAAUAACAAUACUGUUUAAAAUGUACUGAGCAACAGCUCAUGAGAAGUCAAUGAACAUUAAAAAAAACACAUUAAGACGGUAUUUGGUAGCAAUGUCUGUAGGACUUUUAUUUUUCAGCUUAAUACGUUACGGGAAAGUGUUCCUUUAGUUUCUCCCGAAACAUUCUCAGGAAAACUCUUAUGCAACUCAUUUAUUUGAAUAUAGUAUUGAUAUAUGUGAUGGCUUAUCUUAACUUGCAAAAUUAUCAAAACAUGAACACUUGAAAAGACAAAGUUUAAGUAAUUGUGAAAAAUCUUUAUUGUGUACAACUUAUGUCAUUUUACAAUACAUAUUGCAGUACUGUAAAAAUGUAUAUUUAAUUCAUGGACUGAUGUUAUGUCCUCGUUGGCAGCCGUCUGUUUAGUUGGAUGACAUGGUGCUGCGAAUCCAGGAGUUGUAGUUGCAGACCCUGGCAUAGACACCAGGCUUGUUCCUCAUAGCGCAACCGUAACCCCAGGACACAACACCCUGAAGCUGGCCGUUGCACACCACGGGACCACCAGAGUCUCCCUGCACAGGAGUCUUUGCCUCCCUCCAAGAAUCCGGCGCAGAACAUGUUGGAGGUGAUCUGUCCAGGGUAGGCGCUCCUGCAGCUGCUGUCACUCAGCAUGGGGAGAUCCAGGCACCUCAGACGAUCAGGGUAGUUGUCUGUAGAGGAGAAGACAAUAAGCAAAUGUUGCUAAAGCAGCAAACGGUUGCUUUGAGUUCUUACUGACUUCCAGAGCCGCUCAUGUUGCCCCAUCCAGAGACCAGACAGCGGGUGCCUGUACCAGCACAGCUGGAAGGCAGGGACACUGUACGCACGUAGCUGUUGAGGGUGGCGGGCCUGCUCAGCUUGAUGAGCAUAAUGUCAUUGUCCAGGUUGCGGCUGCUGUAUCUGGGAUGUUUGAUAACCCUGGCAGAGUUGAUGAACUGCUCCGUACCCUCGUUCAUGGCGAUGUUGUGCUCACCAAGACGUACCUGGAUUCGACUGCACAGAAGCACGCCAUAGUUAGCAGUGAGCAGCAGACACUACCCAGGUGCUGGAGAUCAGGGAGCCUCCACAGAAGUGGUAACCGGCAUUCAGAGAGACCUGGUAGGGCACAGAGUUCUUUCUGCACUCAUAUCCACCAACAAUCUUGUCGUCCUCAUCCUCAAUGGGAGCAGCAACUGCAAUGUCAUGAUUAUUUUUAUACAUAGAAAAACAGAACAAAAAUAUGUAUUUCAUUGUCCACAUGAGAGGAAUGCAUACUCACAGGCUGCAGCACACAAGGCAAGGAUAAUUAAAUACUUCAUGACUGUGUUCCGGAGCCAAUUGACAGACCAAUGGAGGAACAUGAUUGUUGGGUUUAUAUACUAUUCAAACGUAUACCCAAUCUACUCUUUAUCUAAGACUCUCAAGGUUUUUCCCAAGUACAUUGCAAAAUGAUUAAACAUUAGCCCACCUGGGAAGUGUACCAGCAUGACCAAGUGAGAUAUUUUCACUUGCUAUGGUCCUAGAAUGAUAAGCUUCAUUUUCAGUUAUUGGUUUGUCAUGGUGACUUUAGAACUGGCUCAAUGAUCCAAAAUUUAAAAGUGAUGAAUUUGUAUUUUUUUUUUUUUUAAAUCUCAGA